rnacentral:rRNA from 1 species
AUGGGCUCGCGGCCUAUCAGCUUGUUGGUGAGGUAAUGGCUCACCAAGGCGUCGACGGGUAGCCGGCCUGAGAGGGUGACCGGCCACACUGGGACUGAGACACGGCCCAGACUCCUACGGGAGGCAGCAGUGGGGAAUAUUGCACAAUGGGCGGAAGCCUGAUGCAGCAACGCCGCGUGAGGGAUGACGGCCUUCGGGUUGUAAACCUCUUUUAGCAGGGAAGAAGCGAAAGUGACGGUACCUGCAGAAAAAGCACCGGCUAACUACGUGCCAGCAGCCGCGGUAAUACGUAGGGUGCAAGCGUUAUCCGGAAUUAUUGGGCGUAAAGAGCUCGUAGGCGGUUUGUCGCGUCUGCUGUGAAAUCCCGAGGCUCAACCUCGGGUCUGCAGUGGGUACGGGCAGACUAGAGUGCGGUAGGGGAGAUUGGAAUUCCUGGUGUAGCGGUGGAAUGCGCAGAUAUCAGGAGGAACACCGAUGGCGAAGGCAGAUCUCU